GCGUUUCCUUCCUCUCAUCCGUCUCCCUCUACCCCCCUCUAUCUAUCUCUCUCUUCUUCUCUCCUUUCGUCUAAACGUCUAUCGGUCUAUCGUUUAAUCGACUCUUUCUAGAUCUGCUGUCCACCCAUCCAUUCGUUCGUCUAUUCAGUUAACCGUAUAUCCAUUUUCCGAUUUACAUUUCUUAAAUCGCGUUCUCGAUUCUUAACGUAUUAGAUUUAGGAAAUUUAAGUGAAGAUCAUUUUAAACGAAGAUUAUUUUAUAGAUCGCAAUCUCUGGAAAUCGUUCCGUACGAUAAUCAAUGGAUUGUUAUAAAAUCAGUAAAGUUUAUUAUCGAAAUAUUAUCGGCACGAGUACAGGUGUAAAGAGAUCAUCGCACUCGGACCGAGCGAAGGGGGGCGACGAGAGUUCGGCCAGGGGUUGAACACGAGGAAAACCACGUGACGAGUAUCGGGAGUUCUGUAGUGACGAAUAAAAUCGCUCGCGUGCAGCUACGGAGUUACUUGGUCUAUUAAGUUUACCGAACUUCCCGAUAGUUAUUCCGGUACCAGAUUUCUUACAAUUGGCUGGAACGAGAAAUAUACGAUACGUCGUACUAUGUACGUAUAGUAUGGGGGAACGAAGACUUGGAAGAAGAUGAGAUAAGAGAGAGGAGUUUCAAGGCCGUCCGACGGAGGCGAGGGGGUGAAAUUCCAAGUUCAGGACCUUUCGAAGGAUCUCGCUAUCUCGGGUUGCUCUACCUACCCUCUACGCGACGAGAGAAGGGCAACCCUCUCGCCAUCCGAUUAAUACCGGAACGUUAUCCACGGAACAGGAGAGAGACCCAACGGUCUUCGCAGCAGCCACCCACCGGUACACCCUUUCCGAGCCAGCCCCGUCCCCCGCAAAAGCAUCGUUUGCAGCAAUUAACGUGGAAUAAACAUGAAAGACGACAAAGUGGGCAAGGUAUCGGUCGAUGAAGAAAGAGAGAGGCGUUCCGGGAAGUCUCGCGGCCAAAGAUCGUACACCACUGGCGAGUACAUAAAACGUGGAAGAUUCGAAGGCGAUUCGUGUUCGCCCGAUCCGCACGACCCGUCAUCGGCGAAGAAAAUUGCUCUCUCACGUGACUCUACGAACAGUAAACUCGUACUCUAUACACAGCAGCGGCAACAACAACAACCGCGAACCAGAAGCGUGGCGAUGAGAAAAAAGCGAAGAAGGCGAACGAGGCGAACGAGAAACAAAGGAGAGAACGGUGAAGAAAUGAGCGGCUCUAGGAAAAGUCUUAAAAUCCCUGAAUGAACCGCGAGUCGUCAAACGGAGUAGAGAAUGAAUGGUUGCCAGGCUCGGUUCCGACUGUGUCCGCGUCCCUCUCUUCUUGACCCUCCUCCUCGUCCGUCCCCUGGCUUCGUUCGGAUCGACCCUAAUUAUGUCAUAACAGUUUCGGAUGAUUUCUCUCCAACUUUGCCAACCUUUUAGUUUUUUCCUUCAGGUUCAGUGGAAUUCGAGAAAGAGAGAGAAACAGAGAGAGAGAGAAUAGGAGAGCGAAAGUACCGCCAUCAGCUGUUAUAAAAGCCAUUCGAACCUGAACAUCUAAAUUUGCAAGACUCGCAUAAUUCUAAGAACGUCACCGACAGGCGUACGUAAAGACGUCUCCUGGCGAGGGGAAUUUGAUACAGUGUAUUGAGUAUUGAAUACACGAUUAAAUGUCCACGGCAUUUAAUUAGCUCCGCGCGUACAAAUGGAGUGUCCACCGAAAAUCAUACAAAAAGACGGAACUAGUUUCAUUAGUCACACACGCGACGAGAUGACUCGAGCCAGUUUUGGAACGACGUAAAAAGAGCUCGAAGCCUUGUCGUUAAGUAUAGAGAUUCCGGUCUAUUUUCUCGCGAUUAAAAACCGAGUAGCAUCGUGACGAGCCACCCAGUACAUUACACACGUCAAAUUCCGUGGUAACAUGAAUCGAUGCGGUUUGUUCCGGUACGCGACGCGACGGAACACUCUUCAAACGUGCGAACAGAUCUCUUCCCUUUUUCGCUGCAUGACCAGUGAAACGUAGGCGGAUUCCACCGACCGAACCGAACCGAGCCAAACGGGAAGGGGAUAGGAGAGAAUAUAAGAAAUGGAACGAACGAGCUCUCCCUCUCUCUUUCUCCUGUUCUGCAUCCAUGCGAUCCAGUUUUUUAUCACACAUUCUCACGGACCAAUGCCGUCUCGAAUCCGACGAUUUUACCCGUUACAAAAAGUAACGGGCACACAUUUUGGAAAGCGAACGAUUCGUUCAAUCAGUUGGAUCAAUUGGAAAUUUUUUUUUGUUAGUAACGAUUGACAAAGAUCCUUCAUUGAUUUCAUUAUUUUUCGCUUUAAUGUAGAACCUCGAAUUUUUCCGUACCCUUAAAUCUAACCGUUGCUGAUGUGAGAAACCUCUGGCUCGCUGCUUUGAUCUUCUACUGGGCCACGGAUUUUUCAUCGAUAAGGAAUCUCGCCAACGGAUCUGUGACUAGAGUUUUAAAAAAGAACAGAUUCGACCCGAUUCCUUUCCUACGGUAUCUGUAUAAAUUUCAUUAGACCUCUCGCGGACGCAUCCGCUCUUGCUCGCAGCCAAAUUCUCCGCGAUCUCGGUCACAUUCUCAAUUGCCAUUCUUUUUUUUUUUUUAUUACGUUAAAUUCGAUUCAUCAGGCUGAAGAUCUUUGAUCGGAAGACAGAGCGUAACUACGAGCCUGAAUCCGGAGUCUUUUAUUUUCUCCCGUAUCGGUCUCGCAUAUCGAACUGAAUCGGGCUGCGAAAUGAAGUUAAUGUGGAAUCGUGCGAGUCAAGUGUGAGAAGCGAGGUGUACGCCACACUCUGGACCGGACACGGUGUGCUCGAUGAUCGAUCCCAGGAGAAAAAAGCAUGAAAAACCGACCAGGGGAACGAAACUCUCGUUACUGUUUUAUUUUGCCGAACGCAAGCCUCUCGCGAAUGAGAAGUGUUGGUAAAUCGCUAUCCUCGAUGUUUGCUCUAAAACUUUUAGCAUACGAUGAUCGUACGAUCCAAGAAUAAUAAUAAAUACGAAUUCUGUGCGAACAUUUUUUAGUUGGCAUUAGUUUUAUCGUAGACAAAUUGCGGAUUCUGACACGCGUAUAGAUUCGUCUGCGAGCGACGGAGGUGUAAGGACCGCCAGGUAACCAUAAUAACGUUUCCAGGCUUAAAAUAGUUUCGAUACCCUUUUCUGAUUGACUAAAGUUCGCCAUUCUCCUCAAAUAUAGUCCAUUCGAUUCUAUUACGUGUCUUACGCGUACAAUUUUCUUGUCACCCGGAUGGAGAAUGGACUAACGUUAACUCGACUCGGUAAUCCCGAGUCAUUGACUCUGUUUCCGGUUUCGGUUCUCCGCCGUUCCCUGUCCCUCGCGCCGCGCUGUCAUCCCCUAUCCCAGUUCUCGCCCUCUUUCUUCUCUUUCCCGGCUAUUUCUAUCCCUCCAUUCAGUUCUAUCUAUAUCCAAUUUGUUUUUAUCCGCGUUCAAUCUAUUCCCUCGGCUCGUCGCUAUUUUUCACCCAUUGCGCGUGUACCUAUUCCCAACUGAUAUCUUUGAUUUUUUUUCAUUCACGUUACUACUUCCAUAUGAUCGCCCGAAGUACGAACAGUCGAGUCGGACAGACGUGUGCGUAGAAACGAGUUCAAUUCAAGAUCGAUAGGAAAAAAUAAGAACUGAGCUGGGAAAGGGUUAGUAGAAAAGAAACCGAUGUCACUCGACCUAUUUUCUCAAUCGCUUCGGAUCGCAUCUCGUUCCUAAGUAAACGUAUAUAGGGUACGUACGUAUACACGUAGAUAUAAAUGGUCGUCCGUAUAUUAAAAAUUAAGUGAUCCUCUGCUCGAGUGCGCCUUCCUAUUUUAGUUUGCAAAUGUAUUUAAGUACCCGGGCACGAAUGCUUCUCGUUAGUCGUUGAAGCUCCUCCUUUUACAUGUCGUGUAUGUGUCUCUUCUAUCGUCAUACACUUUUACAGUGCGCAACAUUUUUCUUUUACGUGCACGUUUAACGUCGACUUUGCUAUUAUAAUCAGUUUCGAUUAUGGUUCACGCGUCUUUGAUUCGGCGCGAGUGCUACUUUACGUUGCGCGUUUCAUGGUGUCCGUAUAUUGGAAAACGAUUCUUCGUGAACAGAUUAAAAUAAUGUGUAA